rnacentral:rRNA from 1 species
AUACGGAGGAUCCGAGCGUUAUCCGGAUUUAUUGGGUUUAAAGGGUGCGCAGGCGGGAGAUUAAGUCGGCGGUGAAAUUUUGCAGCUCAAAUGUAAAAGAGCCCUCGAAACUGGUUUCCUUGAGUGUAGAUGAAGUAGGAGGAAUUUGUGGUGUAGCGGUGAAAUGCAUAGAUAUCACGAGGAACUCCGAUUGCGCAGGCAGCUUACUAAACUACUACUGACGCUCAGGCACGAAGGCGUGGGGAUCAAACAGGAUUAGAUACCCUGGUAGUCCACGCAGUAAACGAUGAUUACUAGCUGUUUGCGAUACAAUGUAAGCGGCUGAGCGAAAGCGUUAAGUAAUCCACCUGGGGAGUACGUUCGCAAGAAUGAAACUCAAAUGAAUUGGCGG